ensembl:lncRNA uncharacterized LOC113137524
CAUGAAUUUUGUAAACUGCACUAGAGUCUCUCAUAGACGUGAUGUAACUCUACGUCUGUCGGACAUGGGAGUGAUUCGAUGUUACUUAGGAGAUGAACCACAAAGAGGAAACAGCAGCAUCACAUACAGAUGAAUAAAAACCUCAUACAACAUCCGUCGGUCACAGAGGACGGACACAGAAUGGCUCCGCUGGCACUGAUCCUUAUUUUUCUGCUUCACUUUGAAGCAGGUCUUAGUGGAAAACUUUAUUAUCUCUAUCACACACCUGGACAAGACGUCACUAUGACCUGUGCCAAUGUUUCUGACAGAAAAUGCUCCAACAUCAACUGGCUUUAUAACGCCCCUCAGACUGAGACUAUAUAUGACGUUCAGGAUGGAAACAUUAUAAAGAGCUCAGUUCGAGCUGCCAGGCUGAGUCUGGGCCCUGACUGCUCUGUGGUCAUCAGAAACAUCACUGCUGAGGAUGUAGGUCUGUACACCUGUCGGCGAGGGAGGAACCCUGGACAGGAUGCCUUCACAUAUCUAAGUGUUCUGACAAUCUCUCUGUUUCCUCCAGACACUGGUCCACAGAUGGAUGAAGUGACAUUACAGUGCUCUCUGCUGAGAUUCAGUAAAUAUGUUCGCUGUCGAGAGAACAGCUUCAGCUGGAUGGACGAGGCAGGAACGCUGCUGCUUGGUGAACAGUCCCAGUCUGAGACCCAAUGUGUGUCUCGUCUGACUGUGAAGCGUCAGAGCCUUGACAUCAGGACGUACACCUGCUGGUUUGUUGAUGAGGAGAACAAAGUGAAGAUACAGACUGAAUACACACGUAUCCUCACCACAGAUAAAACCUACAUCUACGUUGGUGCAGCAGUCGGGCUGCUGCUGCUGCUGCUGCUGCUGCUGCUCAUCAUCACUGCUGUUUUCAUCAAAUACAGGACAGGAGCCAAAGUGGAUGUUCAACAACUAGCCCAAACCCCUAAUGAGCAUGAGGGAAAUGUGACCUAUGUGACUGUUGGCCACGUUAAUCAAGUGGACUCUGUGAGAAAGGUCAAAGAAGAGGAGAAGGCCAUUUAUUCUACGGUCAAGACAUCAUAA